rnacentral:rRNA from 1 species
AUUCCAGCUCCAAUAGCGUAUAUUAAAGUUGUUGCAGUUAAAAAGCUCGUAGUUGAACCUUGGGCCUGGCCGGCCGGUCUGCCUCACCGCAUGCACUGGUUUGGCCGGGCCUUUCCUUCUGGCUAACCGCAUGCCCUUUACUGGGUGUGUUGGGGAACCAGGACUUUUACUUUGAAAAAAUUAGAGUGUUCAAAGCAGGCAUUAGCUCGAAUACAUUAGCAUGGAAUAAUAGAAUAGGACGUGUGGUUCUAUUUUGUUGGUUUCUAGGACCACCGUAAUGAUUAAUAGGGAUAGUCGGGGGCAUCAGUAUUCAAUCGUCAGAGGUGAAAUUCUUGGAUCGAUUGAAGACUAACUACUGCGAAAGCAUUUGCCAAGGAUGUUUUCAUUA